rnacentral:rRNA from 1 species
AGCGAACGCUGGCGGCAGGCUUAACACAUGCAAGUCGAGCGGGCGUAGCAAUACGUCAGCGGCAGACGGGUGAGUAACGCGUGGGAACGUACCUUUUGGUUCGGAACAACACAGGGAAACUUGUGCUAAUACCGGAUAAGCACUUACGGGGAAAGAUUGAUCGCCGAAAGAUCGGCCCGCGUCUGAUUAGCUAGUUGGUGAGGUAACGGCUCACCAAGGCGACGAUCAGUAGCUGGUCUGAGAGGAUGAUCAGCCACAUUGGGACUGAGACACGGCCCAAACUCCUACGGGAGGCAGCAGUGGGGAAUAUUGGACAAUGGGGGCAACCCUGAUCCAGCCAUGCCGCGUGAGUGAUGAAGGCCCUAGGGUUGUAAAGCUCUUUUGUGCGGGAAGAUAAUGACGGUACCGCAAGAAUAAGCCCCGGCUAACUUCGUG